rnacentral:lncRNA from 1 species
GUGUUUUAUAACAUUCAUAUAUACUAGAGUAGAAGUAUAAAUAUAAUUUAUAAAUACAUAAAUACCAGAGUGAACACUCAAAAUUGUUUAUGGAUAGGAGGCAGGAUCAAAAAUUUGGCUGCUGUACGUCUACAUUCCUCCCUAACUACCGCUGCCUGGGUUGCUGUCAAUAGUUUCUCCACGUAAACUGUACCUCCCACACUGGAUGCUGGGGGAGAGGGGGUUGGGGAGCUGGUGGGGGCACCUGUGCCAUUGAGUUCAAACCACUUCAUGCGUAGUGGGGUCUCUGGGGCCUGGAGGGUUCUGAGGGGCCCAGGCUCCUUGGAGGAGCGGGUAUGGGAAGCUCUGUAAAGUCUAAAGUCCUGGAAAUAACACAGGGUCUGCCUUCAGAGGGACCUUCACUAGAGCCCACAGUGAUACAUAAGGAGUUCCCGUCGUGGCGCAGUGGUUAACGAAUCCGACUAGGAACCACGAGGUUGCGGGUUCGGUCCCUGCCCUUGCUCAGUGGGUUAACAAUCUGGCGUUGCCGUGAGCUGUGGUGUAGGUUGCAGACGCCCAAGAAAUAGCAACAACAACAACAACAACAAAAAAGACAAAAGACAAAAUAAAUAAAUAAAUAAAUAAAUAAUUUAAAAAAUAAAUAAAUAAAUAAAAACUGCAUUAAAAAAAAAAAAAAAGAGUGAUACAUAAGUCGUGGCCUCUUUGCAAGGCUCCCAAGAAGUAAGAGGAAAGGGGGCUUGGGGAAUCCUAGAGCACCUUCCUUUCCAGAACACAGAGCGUCCCUGGCAUGGGGUGGCCCCAGAGGCUCCCAGGUACAAAGUCUGUGAGGAGGGGGUGCAACAGGGCCAGCGAGGGGAACCUGACAAAGCCAGGUCUCUGCCCAAACAGGCCAGAAGUCAUGCACAGCCCAGGUGAGCUGGGGCACCGGCACCCAGCCGCCCACACCAACCAUCAGCCACCCCCGCCAUCUCCAGGUUCCUGUAGCUGCUGAGAAAGUUCAAGGGUAAGUUGGCUUUCACUCUUUGACUCUUCUUAUUCAUCUCAGCCAGACCUUUGGGGGUAGGGGGAGAGGUGAGGAAGACAGCUGACAUGCAGUCAUUCUGAGCACCCCUGGGGUCCUCCUGCUCACAGCCUCCCUUUCCCCCAAGCCUCCACCGGCCCUCCUGACUCUUGUUUCCUAAGAAACAAGCACAGGCUGAUUCAUGCAGGUUGCAGAAAACAGGAUAAACCCAGGCUGCUUUGUAGGGUUACAAGUUCAGAGGCUUUGGGGUUUUCUGGAUCUAAUCUUGAAGCAUCGAGACACAUCUGAAUACUUGGAUGAUUCCCAUCUCUCUCUUCCUCUUGUCACCCUGGUCACCCUGAUGUGCACUGAACCCCAGACCAGAGGCUCCCAGCCCUUCAUGCACCAUUUGAAGGAAAUGGAUCCACUGACCUCCCCUAGUCCGUUCCCAUCCCAUCCGAUUCCUCUGAGUCCCUGCAAAAGAACUUCUCUGGGAGGAGAACCAGUCUGUGGCUCGUUCCAUUCUUGCAUUUCUGACUUUUGCCAUUUGGGGAAGCCAGAGAGCAGGUUCUGCUAUGCACUUUUGCGGGGAGGCACGAGGAGGGUAGAAGCAGGCUCUGUGCCACGUCCAGGGCCAUGAAGGCAUCAGUGGAGAUCAAGGCCCGGCCUUCCACUCUAGCUUGGGGCACCAAAGCAGAGAAAGCAUCCUUUCUGAUUUUGAACAGACAAGGUCUUGCCUUUUACCAUUCUCUGCUGAGACCCUGAAACAGACUGUGAGCUUCCCACACACAGGUGCACAGCUGCUCAUCUAUCUCUGUGUCUCCCUGCACAGCUCAGUGUCUGGCACAGGCAGCUGCUGAAGGGACAAGGGCGUAGCUGAUUCAGCUCAGUCCUGCUGGGGCUAGCACAGUACUGCUUGAUACAAGCUGCUAUUGUAAAAGUUGCUGUCGUGGCUAAGCGGGUUAAGGACCUGCACGUUCCAUCUCUGGCCUCAAUCAGUGGGUUAAGGAUCCAGCUUUGCCCCAAGCAGCAUAGGUCACAGAUGUGGCUCAAUUCCAGUGUUGCUGUGGCUAUGGUACAGGCUGGCAGCUGAAGCUCCAAUUCAACCCGUAGCCUGGGAACUUUCAUAUGCGACAGGUAUGGCUCGUAAAAAGAAAAAAAUAAAAUAAACAAACAAAGCUGCUGGGAUUAGCUAGCACCUCUCUCCUCCCACUGCACUGGCUGAGAUGCCCAGAUUAAACGCGGGGCUUCAGAACCCUCAGAAGAUCUUGCAAAUCAGUGCUGAGUCUCAGAGCUCCAUUUCCUGGGUAACAGCCUCAGAUCAAGGUUUUACCCAGGUGUGAGCUCUCCCAACAGCCCAGGAAAGGGGUAAAGGUGAGAACCCUCGCUCACCACAGUGCAGAUAGACAGGGUCAAAAAAAAAAAAAAAAAAAAAAAAAAAAAACAAAAACAACCUGUCAGCUCCACCCUACCUGUGUGAGCCCUCACCAUGGGAGCAGAGGCAGGAGGGGAGAACACCACAGCCAGCCACGUCAUCUGUGGUUUCACUUCUCUGGUGAAUCAGUUCCCUGUGCAGGAGCCCAGAAGGGCAACCUUGAGUUGAAAUAUUGUUGAGCCAAUUGCAAAUGAAGGCACAGGGUAGUGGGGCCAGGAGCAGGGUGUGAAGUCACACCUGCCAUUGGUUCAGCCACGCCACAUGUCCUUUGGCCCAACCAGCGAGCCUCCGAGGAGGGAACGGUGUACCUGCCUUGCAGGGAUGGAUGCAGAAUGACUCAGAGCUGAAAGCGCUGGGCCAAUGGGAAAAGCCUCCACACCUGUGCAUUACUUAGAGCGUUAACUAACGGGAGCUAUGGUCAGAUUCAAGGCAUCGCUUGGAACAAUUUGGGGGCACUAUUUGCAUAGACUCAAUAUGAAAAGUCAUCCCACCCACCUCCCCCUCCUCAGCAGAGCGGAUCUGCCUCCCUUCCUCCAGAGAAGACCCUAGACUCUGAUUUCCUGAAUCCAAUCUUGAAUAGCUCCUCCGGGGUCCAGGGCCCCCCAGAAGGGAAGGAGAAAGGAGGGAGAACCAGAAACAGUCUGCUGCCAGGAUUUUCCGCGAAGCUAAUAAGCUUAGGUGUCAGGACCCUCACCUGCACAGACCCUUCCCAGCCUCUCGGCUUAAUUCUGUGUUCCUGUUUUAAAGAAAGUCUGCAAAACCUUUUAAACUCCAGGCCCCCAAAAAACGGGUCUGCUCUGGCUCCCCAGUAGGACUCUUCUCUCCUCAGAAAUAAGCUCUCAUCAUCCCCCAUAUGACAGCCAACAUCCUCCACCAGCCAGCCUCCUCCCCCUGGAUAUCCACCCAUCUUGCCAACUCGGACAGGCUGACAGGUUCCUGCUUCCACCACUCGGCUCAGGACACCCCCAGCCAGGACUGCAUUUUUCCUAACUUUUUGGCCUAUUGCACUGGCUGCUCAUCCUUCCAGACCCACAGCAAAUACUACCGACAGUAGGAAGCUGUCCCCAAGUCCCAGUGCCCUCCGCCCCUGGACUCAGCAUGUCCCUCUGUCACAGUAUUAACCCAUAACAUGGAAACUUCAGUUGGAGAGUCCACUUCCCCAACCAGGCUGUGUGCUCCUCUGGGAUCCAGGCACAUUUAUCUGAUUCAGAUCCUCAGAGCCUACCAGCUCAGAGCUGGCUCCUCCCAGGUGCUGAGCAAAUAUUUCUCGAAUGAAUGGAUCAAUGAAUGGCACUGCAAUGACAGAAUGAUUUUAAAAGGUCAAGUUCAGUCUGGUUCCCACCUGCAGUCACUGCGCUCACUCUCACCAUUCUCUUCCUGAGAUCUUAUUCUGCAUCUUUGGGAAGUGAAGCCCUGAGAAACCAUUUCUGGAGCCUGUGCGCCCCCUAGUGGUUGAAUGGCCACCAGCAUCUUCCCGAAGAACCAGAGGCAACAGGCAGGGCGCAGUCCUUGGAAGUCCUGCACAAAUGUUUGACCACCUCCACCACUGACACACGCCUCCCCGCCCCUCCCGAAACAAUGUGUCCACCAGGUUUUUAUUCAGGUGGAGGAGGCUCAGGUCCUACAAUUUCUGUAAGUCUUUGACCUUUAAGGUGCUAUGACGACUAUGGUCUCAAAGACCUCACCCAGGACCCAGUUGCCCUGACAGUGUUGGUGGCCACCACAUCUCCCCAGGAGAUCUCAGAAAAGGGAAUGCCAUCCUGCUUCCUGUGUCUCUGGUCUGGCAUUCUUGCCUGUUGCUUUCAAGGGCCUCCACCUGGGAUGUGUGCCUGGGCCAGGAUGAGCCAUGGAGCCCCAGUCCCACAGAAAGCGAGCACAGCAAAGUCCUGCUCUAUUUCCUGGCUUCUGAGGAGCCCAUCAGCUACUUUAUUCCAACAGCCUUCCUCACUCUGUACCACAUCUUGCUGCCACCAACCCCAGCCUUGCCACCUGGAAUUGGGACUGAAAACUUUGUUUUGUCCGGGUCAUGCAGUGUUGUAUUCAUACUUGAAUGCAAUGCCUUUCAAUGACAGAUGCCUUCUGCUGGUGUCUCCCUGCCCUCUGUUAAAUAUAUCUGCAGAUCUUUUUUGACUUACAAUGGAGUUACAUCCUGAUAAACACAUCACAAGUUGAAAAUACGUCAAAAAUGCAUUUUUUAAUUUUUUUUUUUUUUUUGGCUGUGCCCUCUGCAUGCAAAAGUUC